rnacentral:other from 1 species
AUUUCUCUGAGGUGUUUGUCGGUGGGCCAGUCCCCUGAGCCGAUAUUUCAUACCACAAGAAUGUAGCGAUCCGUGGUCGGUGAGCACGCUCGGUUUCCGAGAAGCCUUAAGGCUGCGACGCUAUGUUCACCUUGAACCCAGGGUUCAAGGGUUACAGCCUGCGACGGCAUCUCGGAGAUUCC